CAAUAGCGUAUAUUAAAGUUGUUGCAGUUAAAAAGCUCGUAGUUGGAUUUCGGAGACGACCGGGCGGUCUGUCGAGAGACACGCACUGCUCGGUGGCUCUUCCUCUCGGAGGCCCUGGCUGCCCUUAACUGGAGCGGGCAGGGGAUUCGGGACGUUUACUUUGAAAAAAUUAGAGUGUUCAAAGCAGGCCGGUGCUUGGAUACAUUAGCAUGGAAUAAUGGAAUAGGGCUUGGGUCCUAUUUUGUUGGUUUUCGGGACCGAGGUCAUGGUUAAGAGGGACAGUUGGGGGCAUUCGUAUUCAAUUGUCAGAGGUGAAAUUCUUGGAUUUAUGGAAGACGAACAACUGCGAAAGCAUUUGCCAAGGAUGUUUUCAUUAA
rnacentral:rRNA from 1 species